rnacentral:rRNA from 1 species
UACGUAGGGCGCAAGCGUUGUCCGGAAUUAUUGGGCGUAAAGAGCUCGUAGGCGGUUUGUCGCGUCUGCUGUGAAAACUCGAGGCUCAACCUCGGGCUUGCAGUGGGUACGGGCAGACUAGAGUGCGGUAGGGGGUGACUGGAAUUCCUGGUGUAGCGGUGGAAUGCGCAGAUAUCAGGAGGAACACCGAUGGCGAAGGCAGGUCACUGGGCCGCAAACUGACGCU